AGCCGCGAGGUAGAAGAGCAUUCGCCGGAGUGCAAAUCCGGAGACGUACACUAGGGUGUACCGUGGCUU
rnacentral:tRNA from 1 species